rnacentral:lncRNA from 1 species
AUUAACCAUUGUUAAACCUUUAUUUACCAAAAUUGCGUAUCAAUUAUUUCAAAGGUAUGCUCCUAUAAAUCAAAAUCGAGUAUACUAGAUUUUUGGAAUUGAAAAUUAAAUUAAGUUUUAUGCAAAUUUCCAUUGUAGAUCAAGCACUAAAUGUCAAACAGAACAAGUCCUCCUCCCUAAAUCCAUGCUUCACUAUCCCACUCAUGGCAAAUCUGGGCAAGAGCAGGGCCAGACAACAUAAACAUGCCAGUCAAUAUUUUGGAGCCUUUCUACAGCCAGCCAGCCAGCCAACCAACCAGGUAUGAGGCUUGCAGCAAAGGAUCACAUGUCAUUGUGAGCCUGCAGACACAUGAAUGUUGCUAGAGAGGUUUUCAUCCAUGCGGCCAGGGGCAGCAAAGCCUUCAAGAGCUCACAUUACCUUUAGAGGGAGCUCUGUCCCUCUACAGCCACAACAGCACAAGCAGUGGUGAGAGUGCAGUCGUGACUGAAGCAGAUAACACAAUGUACACUUACUGGCUAGACCCAGGGAGAUGCAUGUGUAGAAAUGUAGACAUCUUCAGUAUACCUGAGCAUGCUAUCUCUCCACAGUGCCCCACCUACUCCUCCCAGGAAGAAAGGGGCACGGUAAUAUUGACUAAACAUGGCACCCUAUUGUAUGUGAAUAGCUCAUAAAGCUGGCUUAGCAUUAUGGGAAACGUAGUACCCAUAAUCAUCUGCACUGUGCAUGCUAUCUAUCUAUGGGAUAAGUCACUGAUUGCUUACAUUCCACAAUACGGCAGUUGGCGACUUAAUGGAACCACAUUGCCUAUCAUAGGAGAGAUUUUGGCGACGUUUAGUGGGAUAUGAAUGGAAUUGUGUGUGCCUAUGUCUGUCUGUGUGUAUCCAUGUGUCUGGGUCAGUGUGUUUCUGUAAGGGGUGCCAGAAUGAGCCCAAAACAAAACAUGAUGAACCCAACCUUAAUAGAGAUGUGGGGAUAUUUCAUGGCAUAUCAUUGCUUUUGUGCAUUAUAUCCCCUCCUCUAUACCCAUGAACUAUGUGCUGCUAAUGCUCUUCAGAAUAUGAAUUCACUUACUGCAUAG